AACACCGCACCUUCAUGAGUGCGGUGAUUUAGAAGGUUCAGCUCGCCAAGAGCGGGCUGACUGAAGCCUGCAGCAACCUUCUAACAGGCUUUGAGGUAAGAAUUUUGAUAUAUGUGGAAUAGUACCGCAUAGACAGUAGCCCCUGAUGCUCUGUUCGGUAUUCGAAAAGAAAAGCCGGACUGAGGAUCUAAAAAGAUAUACGCGGGAGUCAUGAAAUAUGUCAAUAUGGGGUUGCAGGCUGUGCUGCUGACCUCUGCCGCACUGACUGCAGAGGUCAAUACUUUGAAGCAAAGCCUCGAGCGGUCCAAGAACGAGCUCGGCCGUGCCAAGAAGCAACUCGAGGACAAGGAAGGUGAAUAACACCGUAUUAAGAUUGUACCUUACAGAAAAGGAUUUGGUUGCAAGAAAAUUGACAAGGAUAACAUGGGUAUUGCAAGUGCCACGACCGAGGUGGCGACCCUGAAGGAGGCGGUGUUCGCGGCCGAACGUAAUGCGGCCGCGGAGCGCACCAAGCGAGAGAAGCAGGAGGCGCGGGUGGCGGAGGUAUAGCAAGAGCUCCAGGAUCUCGUGGAAAAACAUGAGAGCCUGGAGCGUGACUCGAAGACUCGAGAGUCUGAGCUUGCAUCGGCUCUUGAGAGUGCCAAAGCCGCUAAGGCCGAAGCCUACAAGGCCCUCCAAGAAAUCGAGGCGUUGAAGAAAAUAGCAGUGGGUAAGGCAUUUUUCAUGCAAAGUAAGCAUGUGAGUGUGAAUUACCUGUUACUUACCCGAAUUCGGAGCUCUCCAGGAGCGUUCGCAGAUCUUCCUCGCAGCGUGUCCGAUGUUGCCGCUUUCUACCAGGCCGAGGAGGGGAGCUCGACGGAGAAGGUCUUAUGGUCUCAGUAUGCUGAGGCCGGACAUCCGGUGCCCCUUAGCGACCAGCUGAAGCAGCUGGUCGAGCUCCACAAGGUGGCCGAACAGGCCAUGAGGGGCCUCAUAGUUCAACUGUGGCCUAAGGAGGCCGUGCCUAGGAGCUACUUCGGCCUGGUGCGGCGACUGGUGGAUGCGUGUCCAUGGGUUGAAGUCAUCAAGCACUCCGCCUGUAUUGAAGGUGCCCGUCGGGCCCUUGCCCGCGCAAAGGUGCACUGGGGCAAGAUGGAUGCUGAGAAGCUCGUGACGGACGCGCCACCGCUGGGCAAGGAGUAUCGUACUCCCUAGAUGUAUUAUAAGACUGUUCUGAAGGGUGCCCGCAUUAUUGCGGGUGAGUGCUCCAAAGAUGUAAUAUUUGAGUAGACUUGCAUUUUGUUAUCCUGUGCGCUGAAAACUUUGUUCAUAUGCGCUAAGCAACGCUUGUUAAUUUAAAAUAUUACCUUCUGUGUGACCGUUUAUCAAAUCUGAGAGAUGGCAAGUCGUCGGCUUCGGCCCCCAUGCCACGAGUGCUGUGGUGUUCGGGAUAAAUUUGAGCGCUCUUGUUCCCAUUUUUCGGUCCAUCUAGGGAGGCGCUCAACACAACGAACAAGGCAACCGGACUUAUAAUGCUUGAACACUCUCACUUAGCCAUAGAAUUCUAUAAUUUUAAAUUUUGGCAAAGCCGCUAGUGUUCGGAAGGCCGAAUUUGGAGCGCUAUGCAUGCCUGGGCCGGACAAAGCCGGUUCCUCGCUCUAAGCGGCAUAAGUCUUUAGGGACUCGAAAAAACCUCUCGAACAGCAACCGGCUCUCGCCUCAUCAUGACGGUCAGUUUUAGCUUUCUCCACUGAGGCGCUCGCCCAGCUCAACUGGGGCGCAAUCGCAGUGGUUCUUCCAGUGCUACCUUAGCCGAUACAAUGGAACGUAAGGUACCAAAACAUGGGAGCCGGGCAAACCCAACUAUUGACCCAAGACAUGAUUCGGAGCCGAUGCAUAUAAUGCUAUAAGUUCGGGGUGCUGCACUUGUGAAAGUGUUCGGACUUAUCGCACCAUGAUGUGGGAAACAUAAGCCCCUGGUGUGUUUAGCCGUACCAAAGUGUACGGAUGCAACAUGUCAUAAAUGAACAUAUGUAUAAGAAAUGAAUGCAAUUGUAAGCAAAAAGGUGCAUUGUUUAUUCAAGAAAUACUGCUGUGAAUGCAGAACGAUACAAAUGGUGCGGUAAGCAAGGGAUGGGACUAUUAAACAUGUCCCCCUCCAGGGGUAGGCUGCGGAAUGGUGUAUAAAACAGAUUUAAUGCUCAUAAUGGAGACCACCUGGAUAUUCGUCGUAGCCUUUCUCCUUUCCUGGCUGUUGCAUCGUGAGUUCGGCAGGUCUACUGCCGGACAGGGCCUCUGAUGAACGGGGUCCUAUGGGUAAAGAAAAAAGAAAAGAAAAAAGAACGACACACUUGAGAGCCCCUGGUGUGGUUAAGCCGCAUUCUGGGCCUAUCGUGGUCGUGCCCCUCCCCCUAUGCCCAUGGUAUCUUCAGAGCGUAAUGAUGUACGCGAAGGACCCGUCUUGAAAUUUUGUAGGGGCUGGGGUUGGGGCCGCAUUGCUACGCGUGCUCGGAAUGUGCCAGGUGGUCUUGUUGUAGGUUACUCCGGGCGCGUUUAGCCAUGUCCGGUCGCUUGACGGCCGGACUUGAGAAUUGCCUUAAGAGGCUGCAUUGUACUUCUACCGCGAGAGCCGCUGUAUGUUCCUCCGUUCGGAGAGAGCGUUUGUUUCCUUUGACCGUGAUGACUCCUCGAGGGCCUGGCAUCUUGAGCUUAAGGUAUGCGUAGUGCGGUACUGCGUUGAAUUUUGCAAACGCGGUGCGUCCGAGCAGAGCAUGAUAGCCGCUGCGGAACGUAACUAUGUCGAAGAUUAACUCUUCGCUUCGGAAGUUAUCCGGGGAUCCGAAUACCACUUCCAGUGUAACUGAGCCUGUACAAUUGGCCUCUACACCUGGUAUGACGCCUUUAAAGGUUGUCUUUGUAGGUUUAAUCCUUGAGGGGUCUAUGCCCAUUUGGCGCACUGUAUCCUGAUAAAGCAGGUUCAGGCUGCUGCCGCCGUCCAUCAGGACUCUGGUGAGGUGAAAUCCAUCAACGAUUGUGUCUAAAACCAAUGCGGCAAAUCCGCCGUGGCGGAUGCUGGUGGGGUGGUCCCUUCGGUCAAAAGUGAUUGGGCAGGAGGACCAUGGAUUGAACUUCGGGGCAACUGGCUCCAUCGCGUAUACAUCCCUGAGUGCACGCUUCCACUCCCUUUUGGGUAUGUGGGUUGCGUAUAUCAUGUUCAUCGUCCGCACUUGUGGGGGGAAACCCUUCUGUCCUCUAUUGUUCGGCGGUCGGGUCUCUUCCUCGUCAUCGCUAUGCAGCCCCUUGUCGUUGUUUUCGGCAAUUAAUUUGCCUGCCUGCUUGAAUACCCAACAGUCCCUGUUGGUGUGGUUAGCUGGCAUUUCGGGGGUGCCGUGUAUCUGGCACGAGCGGUCGAGUAUUCGGUCCAAAUUGGACGGACCCGGAGUAGUUCUUUUGAAUGGCUUUUUCCGUUGACCGGGUUUAGAGCCUCUGAAUCCGGCAUUGACUAUCGUAUCCUCACUAUUGUCGCCGUUAAUGCAGCGUUUGUUUUUGUUGCGACGCGGCCUGCCAUUGCGGUCCUUGAUAUCCGGACUGCCAUAAUUUUUACUGAGGUUGUUGUUGCGUGCUAGCCAGCUGUCCUCGCCCGCGCAGAAGCGGGUCAUGAGUGAUGUGAGGGCUGCCAUGGAUUUCGGCUUUUCCUGUCCCAGGUGCCGGGCAAGCCACUCGUCGCGGAUGUUAUGUUUGAAAGCCGCAAGGGCCUCCGCAUCCGGGCAAUCGACAAUUUGAUUUUUCUUGGUUAAGAACCGUGUCCAGAAUUGUCUGGCCGAUUCGUCUGGCUGCUGAAUUAUAUGGCUUAGGUCGUCAGCGUCUGGUGGUCGCAUGUACGUGCCUUGGAAGUUAUCGAGGAAUGCGGCUUCCAGGUCUUCCCAACUCCCAAUUGACUCUGCUGGCAAGCUGUUAAGCCAAUGUCGGGCUGGUCCUUUAAGCUUGAGUGGGAGAUAUUUGAUGGCGUGGAGAUCAUCACCGUGGGCCAUGUGGAUAUGAAGGAGAUAAUCCUCGAUCCAAACCGCGGGGUCUGUUGUGCCAUCAUAAGAUUCAAUGUUCACGGGUUUAAAUCUUUCGGGGAUUUGAUGAUCCAUUACUUCAUCUAUGAAGCAUAGUGGGUGUGCGGCUCCUCUGUAUUGGGCGAUAUCACGACGGAGUUCAGAAGAGCUUUGUAUAUUUUGUUCGGCCCGGCCGGACUUACUGUGUCCAGCGCGAUGGUUGUCGUCGCGUAUCAUGGGGCGCCCACGCGAUCCAUAGAUCGAUCUUGAUUCUCUUGCCUUAUCCUCCAAUAUAUGUCGCAAGUCCAGAGCAUUCCCUUGUGGCCUUGUGCUUUUCGAGCGAUGUCGGGGUACGGUUCUGGUGGAGGGCCUAGAGGCCUCUCUGUCGCGGCCACGGGGUGGUCGGUCAGCCGUAUUGUCUGCUGGUGAUGCAGGUUCAUAUGCCUCCUCCUCUAAUCGGGGGAGCAGCUUGCGUUUAGGGUAGCUUUUGGAGGGGCGGUCGAGCUCAUGCUCUUCGGCCGCAAGGACUUCAGUCCAUCUGUCGGCUAGCAGAUCUUGAUCAACUCUAAGUUGCUGCUGCUUUUUCUUGAGGCUGUUUGCCGUGGCCAUAAGCCUGCGUUUAAAACGCUCUUGUUCGACGGGAUCCUCAGGCACGACAAAUUCGUCGUCGUCGAGGCUUGCCUCGUCUCCGGAGAGAGGCAUGUAAUCCUCUACUUCUUCGUCUGCUGCCUUCUCAUGAGGGCUGGCGUCUCCGUCCUCCUGCGCUGAACCUUGCUGGAGGGGGUUGUCUUCGGCACUGUCUGGGGUGUUAUUAUCUCCGGUGCUGGAAUCUCCAUUCUUGCUGUGGCGGGAUUUAGAGCGGCGCCGCUGACGCCGGCGCUUGGGCUGUUUCUUGGAGGGGUCAUCCUCCGCUGUUCCUUCGCCAUUCCCAUCCUUUGGGAUAUCCACCAUGUAUAUGUCAUAUGAUGAGGUGGCUUUCCAGUGCCCAGUAGGCACUGGUUCUUGGUCGUCUCCGGCAUCGUCGUCCAUACCGUCGAUGUCUUCGGAGUCGAAGUCUAGCAUAUACGUUAGAUCGUCAACAGUGGCUACUAAGUGAGUGGUGGGUGGGCUUUGAAUUUCUUCGUCGUCGGCAUCCCAACCAUCCUGACCGUAGUCCGGCCAGGGCUCUCCUGAUAACGAGAGAUACUUUAGCAAACUCAAGAUGUCGCUGAAAGGUGAGUGUUGAAAGAUGUCCGCAGCGGUGAACUCCAUGACCGACGCCCAAUCGGAUUCGAUUGGAGGGGGCGCGGGAGGUUCGGAGUUCGGCGAGGAGUCUGGCACCUCAGAGUCACGAGCUUCAUGAGGGACAAGAUCAGUGUUCGGCUCUAUCGCCAUAGAGGUUGCAGCCCCCGAGGCGGUGUCUAGCCACUCGUCCUCGAUCUAUGCAGCUGGCUUCGAAUUGAAGAUCGGAGCGGGCUCGUGUGCGGCCUCCAGGUUACUGUCUGGCUGCAGAGCUAAGUCAUGCCCGUCGUGACAGUGCGGCGCGCUCGGCUGUGGCUCGAAUCCAUCGAAGAUCAAGUCCCCGCGGAUGUCAGCCGUGAAGUUCAAACUUCCAAAUCUGACCUGACGGCCAGGGGCGUAGCUUUCAUCUGCUCCAGAUGGCCAAGCGAAUUGGCCCGCAGUGCAAAGCCGCCGAAUACGAAGAUCUGUCCGGGGAGGAAGGUCUCACCCUGGACUAUGUCGUUGUUGAUGAUCGAGGAAGCCAUCGAGCCUAUCGUUGACGACACAAAGGAACUCUCAACGAAAGCACCAAUGUCGGUGUCAAAACCGGCGGAUCUCGGGUAGGGGGUCCCGAACUGUGCGUCUAGGCGGAUGGUAACAGGAGACAAGGGACACGAUGUUUUACCCAGGUUCGGGCUCUCUUGAUGGAGGUAAAACCCUACGUCCUGCUUGUUUGAUAUUGAUGAUGUGGGUAUUACAAGAGUAGAUCUACCACGAGAUCAAGGAGGCUAAACCCUAGAAGCUAGCCUAUGGUAUGAUUGUUGUUCGUCCUACGGACUAAAGCCAUCCGGUUUAUAUAGAUACCGGAGAGGGCUAGGGUUACACAGAGUCGGUUACAAUGGUAGGAGAUCUACAUAUCCGUAUCGCCAAGCUUGCCUUCCACGCCAAGGAAAGUCCCAUCCGGACACGGGACGAAGUCUUCAAUCUUGUAUCUUCAUAGUCUUGGAGUCCGGUCGAUGAUGAUAGUUCGGCUAUCCGGACACCCCCUAGUCCAGGACUCCCUCAAUCACUAUCAUAAGCUUCUACUUCAAUUGGUGUAGGCGCCACAGGAACAACUUCAUGUGCCCUGCUACACACUAGUUGAAGUGAUGGUUCAAUAACCUCAUCAAGUCUCCACCAUCCUCCCACUCAAUUUUUGAGACAAACUUUUUCUCGAGAAAGGACCCGAUUCAAGAAACAAUCCCUAUUGCUUUCGGAUCUGAAUUAGGAGGUAUACCCAACUAUUUUGGGUGUCCUAUGAAGAUGCAUUUUAUCUGCUUUGGGUUCGAGCUUAUCAACCUGAAACUUUUUCACAUAAGCGUCGCAGCCCCAAACUUUUAAGAAACGACAACUUAGGUUUCUCCAAACCAUAGUUCAAACGGUGUCGUCUCAACGGAAUUACGUGGUGCCCUAUUAAAGUGAGUGCGGUUGUCUCUAAUGCCUAACCCAUGAACAAUAGUGGUAAUUUGAUAAGAGACAUCAUGGUACGCACCAUAUCCAAUAGGGUGCAACUAUGAUGUUCGGACACACCAUCACACUAUGGUGUUCCAGGCGGUAUUAAUUGUGAAACAAUUUCCAUAAUGUCUUAAUUGCGUGCCAAAGCUCGUAACUCAGAUACUCAUCUCUAUGAUCAUAUCAUAGACAUUUUAUCCUCUUGUCACGAUGAUCUUUAACUUCACUCUGAAAUUACUUGAACCAUUCAAUAAUUCAGACUUGUGUUUCAUCAAGUAAAUAUACUUAGUAUCUACUCAAAUCAUCCUUGAAGUAAGAACAUAACGAUAUCCACUGCGUGCCUCAGCACUCAUUGGACUGCACACAUCAAAAUGUGUUACUUCCAACAAGUUGCUUUCUUGUUCCAUUUUACUGAAAAUGAGGCUUUCAGUCAUCUUGCCCAUGUGGUAUGAUUUGCAUGUCUCAAGUGAUUCAAAAUCAACUGAGUCCAAACGGUCCAUCUGCAUGGAGUUUCUUUAUGUGUAUAUACCAAUAGACAUGGUUCACAUGUCUCAAUCUUUUCAAAAACGAGUGAGUCCAAAGAUCCAUCAACAUGGAGCUUCUUCAUGCAUUUUAUACCAAUAUGACUUACAUGGCAGUGCCACAAGUAGGUGGUACUAUCAUUACUAUCUUAUAUCUUUUGGCAUGAACAUGUGUAUUACUACGAUCGAGAUUCAAUAAACCAUUCAUUUUAGGUGCAAGAUCAUUGAAGGUAUUAUUCAAAUAACCAGAGUAACCAUUAUUCUCCUUAAAUGAAUAACCGUAUUGCGAUAGAUAUAAUCCAAUCAUGUCUAUGCUCAACGCAAACACCAAAUAACAAUUAUUUAGGUUUAACACCAAUCUCGAUGGUAGAGAGAGCGUGCGAUGCUUGAUCACAUCAACCUUGGAAACACUUCCAACACAUAUCGUCAGCUCACCUUUAGCUAGUCUUCGUUUAUUCCAUAGCUUUUAUUUCGAGUUACUAACACUUAGCAACCGAACCGGUAUCUAAUACCCUGCUGCUACUAGGAGUACUAGUAAAGUACACAUUAACAUAAUGUAUAUCCAAUAUACUUCUAUCGACCUUGCCAGUCUUCUCAUCUACCAAGUAUCUAGGGUAAUUCUGCUCCAGUGGCUAUUCCCUUUAUUACAGAAGCACUGAGUCUCGGAUUUGGGUUCAACCUUGGGUUUCUUCACUAGAGCAGCAGCUGAUUUGUCGCUUCAUGAAGUAUCCCUUCUUGCCCUUGCCCUUCUCGAAACAAGUGGUUUCACUAACCAUCAACAAUUGAUGCUCCUUCUUGAUUUCUACUUUCGCGGUGUCAAACAUCGCGAAUAUUUCAAGGAUCAUCAUAUCUAUCCCUGAUAUGUUAUAGUUCAUCACGAAGCUCUAGUAGCUUGGUGCAAUGACUUUGGAGAAACAUCACUAUCUCAUCUGGAAGAUUAACUCCCACUUGAUUCAAGUGAUUGUUGUACCCAUACAAUCUGAGUACAAGCUCAACGAUUGAGCUUUUCUCCCUUAGUUUGUAGGCUAAGAAACUCGCCGGAGGUUUCAUACCUCUUGACAUGGGCACGAGCCUGAAAUCCCAAUUUCAGUCGUCGAAACAUCUCAAUAUGUUCCGCGACAUUUUGAAAUCGUCUUCGGUGCCUCAAUUCUAAACCGUUUAAUAUUACUGAACUAUCACGUAGUUAUCAAAACGUGUAUGUCAAAUGUCCGCAACAUCCACAGACGACGUUCGAGGUUCAGCACACCGAGCGGUGCAUUAAGGACAUAAGCCUUCUGCGCAACAAUGAGGACAAUCCUCAAUUUAUAGACCCAGUCCACAUAAUUGCUACUAUCAACUUUCAACUAUAUUUUCUCUAGGAACAUAUCUAAACAGUAGAACUAAAGCGCGAGCUACGACAUAAUUUUCAAAAACCUUUUGACUAUGUUCUGGAUAAUUAAGUUCAUCUAAUGAACUCCCACUCAGAUAGACAUCCCUCUAGUCAUCUAAGUGAUUACACGAUCCGAGUCAACUAGGCCGUGUCCGAUCAUCACAUGAGACAGACUAGUCAUCAUCGGUGAACAUCUUCAUGUUGAUCGUAUCUACCAUACGACUCAUGCUCGACCUUUCGGUCUCUUGUCUUCAGAGGCCAUGUCUGUACAUGCUAGGCUCGUCAAGUCAACCUAAGUGUUUCGCGUGUGUAAAUCUGGCUUACACCCGUUGUAUGUGAACGUUAGAAUCUAUCACACCCGAUCAUCACGUGGUGCUUCGAAACAACGAACUUUCGCAGCGGUGCACAGUUAGGGGGAACACUUUCUUGAAAUUUUAAUGAGGGAUCAUCUUAUUUACUACCGUCGUUCUAAGCAAAUAAGAUGCAUAAACAUGAUAAACAUCACAUGCAAUCAAAAAGUAACAUGAUAUGGUCAAUAUCAUUUUGCUCCUUUUGAUCUCCAUCUUCGGGGCUCCAUGAUUAUCAUCGUCACCGGCAUGACACCAUGAUCUCCAUCAUCGUGUCUCCAUGAAGUUGUCUCACCAACUAUUACUUCUACUACUAUGGCUAACGGUUUAGCAAUAAAGUAAAGUAAUUACAUGGUGUUGUUCAAUGAUACGCACAUCAUACAAUAAAUUAAGACAACUCUUAUGGCUCAUGUCGGUUGUCAUACUCAUCGACAUGCAAGUCGUGAUUCCUAUUACAAAAACAUGAUCGAUCUCAUACAUCACAUAUCAUUCAUCACAUUCUUUUUUGCCCAUAUCACAUCACAUAGCAUACCCUGCAAAAACAAGUUAGACGUCCUCUAAUUGUUGUUUGCAUGUUUUACGUGGCUGCUAUGAGUUUCUAGCAAGAACGUUUCUUACCUACGCAAAAACCACAACGUGAUAUGUCAAUUGCUAUUUACCCUUCAUAAGGACCCUUUUCAUCGAAUCCGAUCCGACUAAAGUGGGAGAGACUGGCACCCGCUAGCCACCUUAUGCAACAAGUGCAUGUCAGUCGGUGGAACCUGUCUCACGUAAGUGUACGUGUAAGGUCGGUCCGGGCCGCUUCAUCCCACAAUACCGUCGAAAGAAGGUUGGACUAGUAACGGUAAGCAUAUUGAACAAAAUCAACGCUCACAACAACUUGUGUUCUACUCGUGCAUAGAAACUACGCAUAGACCUAGCUCAUGAUGCCACUGUAGGGGAACAUAGCAGAAAUUCAAAAUUUUCUACGCAACACCAAGAUCAACCUAUGGAGUAACCUAGCAACGAGGGAAGGGGAGUUCAUCUUCAUACCCUUGAAGAUCGUGAUGCGGAAGCGUUACAAGAACGCGGAUGAGGGAGUCAUACUCGUGGCAAUUCAAAUCGCGGAAGAUCUGAUCUAACGCCGAACAGACGGCGCCUCGCGUUCAACACACGUACAACCCGGGAACGUCUCCUCAUUCUUGGUCCAGCAAGGGGAGAGGAGAAGUUGAGGGAGAGCUCCGGCAGCACGACGGCGUGGUGGUGGAGCUUGCAGUUCUCCGGCAGGGCUUCGCCAAGCACUACUGAGGAGGAGGUGGAGUUGGAGAGGGGGAGGGCUGCACCAGGGGCAAGGGUGAAGCUUCCAUGCGCCUCCCCAUUAUAUAUAGGGGUGGAGGGGGCUGAUUUCUUGCCCUCCAAGUCCAUUGGGGCGUUGGCAAAGGUGGGAGGAAAGAAAUCACAUCAUUUCCUUCCCCACCGAUUGUUAUCCCCCCUUUUUAGGGAUCUUGAUCUUAUCCCUUCGGGAUAUGAUCUUAUUCCUUCUAAGGGGGGAUCUUGGUGCGCCUUGACCAGGGGUGUGGGACCUUGCCCCCACUACCCACAUUCAUGUGGGUCCCCCCAUGCAGGUGGGCCCCACUCCGGAACCUUCUAGAACCUUCCCGGUACAAUACCGAAAAAUCCCGAACAUUUUCUGAUGGCCAAAAUAGGACUUCCCAUAUAUAAAUCUUUACCUCUGGACCAUUCCGGAACUCCUCGUGACGUCCGGGAUCUCAUCCGGGACUCCGAACAACAUUCGGUAACUGCACACUAAUUCCCAUAACAACUCUAGCGUCACCGAACCUUAAGUGUGUAGACCCUACGGGUUCGGGAACCAUGCAGACAUGACCGAGACAACUCUCCGGCCAAUAACCAACAGCGGAAUCUGGAUACCCAUGUUGGCUCCCACAUGUUCCACGAUGAUCUCAUCGGAUGAACCAUGAUGUCGAGGAUUCAAUCAAUCCCGUAUUCAAUUCCCUUUGUCUAGCGGUAUAGUACUUGCCCGAGAUUCGAUCGUCGGUAUCUCGAUACCUUGUUCAAUCUCGUUACCGGCAAGUCUCUUUACUCGUUCCAUAACACAUCAUCCCAUGAUCAACCCCUUGGUCACAUUGUACACAUUAUGAUGAUGUCCUACCGAGUGGGCCCAAAGAUACCUUUCCGUCACACGAAGUGACAAAUCCCAGUCUCGAUUCGUGCCAACCCAACAGACACUUUUGGAGAUACCCGUAGUGUACCUUUAUAGCCACCCAGUUACGUUGUGACGUUUGGUACACCCAAAACAUUCCUACGGUAUCCGGGAGUUGCACAAUCUCAUGGUCUAAGGAAGUGAUACUUGACAUUAGAAAAGCUUUAGCAUAUGAACUACACGAUCUUUGUGCUAGGCUUAGGAUUGGGUCUUGUCCAUCACAUCAUUCUCCUAAUGAUGUGAUCCCGUUAUCAACGACAUCCAAUGUCCAUGGUCAGGAAACUGUAACCAUCUAUUGAUCAACGAGCUAGUCAACUAGAGGCUUACUAGGGACAUGAUGUUGUCUAUGUACCCACACAUGUAUCUGGGUUUCCUAUCAAUAUAAUUAUAGCAUGAAUAAUAAACGAUUAUCAUGAAUAAGGAAAUAUAAUAAUAAUAACUAAUUUAUUAUUGCCACUAGGGCAUAUUUCCAACAGGUCCCGCCUUCUGAAAAUUGAAACAUUUUUCUGUACAUAACACCUAAAACCGUACUGCGGGUUGAUUACGUAAAACUGUACCGCAGACCCCAAAUUAGUACCACCUCGUUUAUAUUACGAUUUUUUCUAUACAAAUCGUAAAAACGCAAUAUGACAUAAGAAGAAAGCGUAUUGUGACGGUGAACCCACAAAGUCAAUCUGUGCUUUAUUAUUACUAGCAAACAUGCCCGUGCAUUGCCACGGGAGAAAAAAUCAUCCCUCGUACACAUAGCAACCACAUCAGAAAAUCCCUUGAAUCUUUUACGAUGGUGCAUGACAAACAACAUAAUAAGUUGUAUUAUUGCAUAUAAAAACCUAAAAGUCGGAUGAUUUUUCAAGUGUACUCAAAGUGUUUCCAACUUAUUAGAUAAUGGAAAUAUCAACCUAGUUGUCGCUAUCUCUUUACACCUUUAUUGUAAUUACUCCUCGGUGAUGCCCAACAAAUAUUGAUGAAAAGAGCAAAGUAAUUUUUAUUACUCAAUGAUAGCAUGUGCAUAAGAGCAUUAUUUUUAUCUUGCUGAUAUAUGUAUUUACAACUGUAAUACAAGUCAAGAUCCUUAAUUUGUAGGAAUCAACAUCCUCUAUGAUGCCAAUAAUAGCUCUCGUGAGAGCGUCAGACUAUCAUAUCUACACAAUUUAAAUGGGGUAGGGGACACAUAUUGUAGGCAUUUUCAAAAUACUUCAUAAAAGAUAGCAUUUAACGUUGCAUUCCAAAUGUAAUUUUAGAAAUGGUUAACAUGCAGGAUAAUAGCAUAUUUCAAAUGUACAAAUUUUUCUAAGAAAUUUUCAUAUAUAACAUUUUAGAUUUAAAGUUAGUUUAAAAGGUAUGAAUAUUUAGAAAAGCAUUUGAAUCUGCCCAAAAAAAAGGAAAAAGUUAAACAGAGAAAAGCUGGGCCAAAAUUACAAACACUAUGCAUGCAGCGUAUCUGAUAAAUGAAGCUUGGGCGAGACACAUAUAUCCUACGCCAUCCUGUAUUUAAAGAGUAAAAAGGAUGAGAAAAGUAAAAAAGAAAAGGAAGUGCAGGCGGGAAUCAAACCUGGAUCUCCCAGGUGGAAGAGAGGGCCUUUAGCCAAUAUAUUACCGAAGCACUUGUGAUGCAAUACGAGACCUAUACCUAAUGAACUCAACAAACGGCCGAUGUAGCGACUCAAAAAAAGAACCGUUUUUGACUUACCGGUGGCAUGGCGGGUAAAUAUUUACAAUUUCAGGGGCAAUUUCAUGACGGACGACAAAAACCAAAUUUUCUUUAUUAUUAUUAGGUAAAGAUAAAGAUAAAGAUUAGGGAAAAAUAGGGAAAGAUUAAAAAAAAUCAGGAAGAGAUUUAUAUUAGGGAAAGAAAAAAAUUAGAGAAAGAUUAGGGAAAAUAUUAGGAAAAAGAUACAGUAAGUUUUUUGUGCAUGUACGAUUUGGGGUACGCCGUCACCUAGCGGUUCCGUGCCGCGAACGCCUGCUGGUCGUGCACCGCAGACGCACCCGAGCCGUCCGUACCAGAAUAUCCGACCACGAUACCCCGAUCAGACGGCCUGCAGCGAACCAAACACUUUUCUGGACUUUUCUCACGUCCAGAUCAAACAUCUGGGCCGUUCAACUGAAACAUACCCACAGAUCGGACGGCCAAAAAAGGAGCCCACCUAUUCCGGGGCUGCUAUAAAUCCGAGGACGCCGUCUUCUGCCCACCCCUCUCGCCGUCCGCCGCUACUCCCCUGCCUCCCCCGGAGCUCGUUAGGGUUUUCUGUUUUUUCGGGGGAGAAAUCUCAAGAGGCGGCACCAUGCUCGUGUACCAGGACAAGCUUUNNNNNNNNNNNNNNNNNNNNNNNNNNNNNNNNNNNNNNNNNNNNNNNNNNNNNNNNNNNNNNNNNNNNNNNNNNNNNNNNNNNNNNNNNNNNNNNNNNNNNNNNNNNNNNNNNNNNNNNNNNNNNNNNNNNNNNNNNNNNNNNNNNNNNNNNNNNNNNNNNNNNNNNNNNNNNNNNNNNNNNNNNNNNNNNNNNNNNNNNNNNNNNNNNNNNNNNNNNNNNNNNNNNNNNNNNNNNNNNNNNNNNNNNNNNNNNNNNNNNNNNNNNNNNNNNNNNNNNNNNNNNNNNNNNNNNNNNNNNNNNNNNNNNNGUUUUCGCGUCUUUCAAACUUGUUUCGAGGGAAUCGGGCUUCGACUGGCUAGAAGCUAGAUCUGAUCGCUUUCGGACUAGCUAGAUCUGAUAGCUUUCGUGAAUCGGUUGUUUAGUCAUCGGUUGCUGAUGCGGAUUGGCUAACUGGUAACCGGGAUUCGCUCGCUAAUCGGUAGAUCUCCGUGCGGUUUGGGGUUAGGACUAGUGCGUUCCCACGAUGGAUUUUACUGAAUCUGCUGUGUUUGAUGUGUCGCAGGCGAUGAGCUUCUGUCGGAUUCCUUCCCGUACAGGGAGCUGGAGAACGGCGUGCUCUGGGAAGUCGAUGGCCAUGUAAGCGCUAUAUUCUCAGCUGCUCUGUGUGCGGUGCUUGGUUUGGUUAUCUUGGUAGAUCACGUGCUAGUUGGUUAAUUCGACCUCGUCAAUUUUGUCUCACAAAACACAGAUCUGAAUGAGCACCUUUCAUCUAGGCAUGUGAUAGAUUGAUGACUGUUUUAUUAUCAUAUGAGUUAUCCAGUUACCAGGCUUGUAUCUGCUUUCAUGACGUGUUAGUCCUUGUUAUAUUGUGCAGCGUUGACACUUCUAAUGUUAAAAUUAAGCAUGUUUGUAUCCUCUAUUGGGGUUGGAGGUUUGGAUUGAUUGGUAUGUUUUUUCUACACAAGCAAAAAAGAUUACUACUGGUUGGUCUGGUGGAUUUGCUUGUGUAAACAAUUUCAUCUUCUAAAAGUUAUUGCGCACACACAUUAUCAACCGUUCAUAUCUAAAGCACUCACACUGCACAUACACACAUGAUUUAUCAACCGUUCAUAUCUAAAGCUCUAAAGCUCUCACACUGCACAUUACUUUUCUUUGUGCUAGCAUCGUUCAGAUGUUUUUGUUUAUUUGACCUGUAUGGUUUUGAAUGCUUCUAGUGGGUCGUUCAAGGAGCAGUUGAUGUGGACAUUGGAGCCAAUCCCUCUGCUGAGGGUGGUGGUGACGAUGAGGGUGUCGAUGACCAGGCCGUGAAGGUGGUUGACAUUGUUGACACCUUCCGUCUUCAGGUUGCUUGCUCUUUUUGAUGCUCUUGACCUAUCUACAGCGUAUGCACUUGAUGAUAGUGCUAAGCCGUCGUGACCUUUUGCAGGAGCAACCUGCUUUUGACAAGAAGCAGUUUAUCUCUCACAUGAAGCGCUACAUCAAGAACCUCACUGCCAAGCUUGAAGGGGAUGACCUAGAUGUUUUCAAGAAGAAUGUUGAGUCUGCCACGAAGUAUCUUCUUAGCAAGCUCAAGGACCUUCAGUUGUAAGUUCUCUCUUUGCCUUGCUCAAAAGUGCAGGCACUGUUUAUCAUUGAUCUGUCCAGACACGUUAGUACUUUAUUCUUACUUUGGUAUUUUAGAUGCUGGUAAUUUAUUCUAUUGAACUUAAAUCAGUGACGGGAUUUUUUUAUAUUUUGGGGAAGGUAGUAAUAAUCUAUCUAUUCAACUUGCGCAAGUUCUAAAACUGGUGUUUCAGCUUUGUUGGCGAGAGCAUGCAUGAUGAUGGCGGCGUGGUGUUCGCGUACUACAAGGAGGGAGCUGCUGAUCCAACUUUCCUGUACUUUGCACAUGGGCUGAAAGAGGUCAAGUGCUAAUGGCACAGUAUGCUAAAAUCUUUGGGGUCGUCAGUAUUUUUGCUCUGCUCUAUGUAUGGUUGUCAGUCGACUCUCCAAUGUUGGUGUCAGUAACUAUCAGAUGUUAAGUGUCUCGAAAACUUUCUGAUAAUUGUGGUAUUUGCUUUGUAAUGGUAAUCGUGAAAUUGGUGUGGUUGUGUUUUGGUCAAUGCCUCGGCUUUUACUCAAUAGUUGAAACAAGAGAUUUUGCCCUGUGAUUCUAUCAGAUUAUCUUGUGUCUUUUGUAACACAGCAAAUGAGCAAAGCAAAAUGAUCAAUCAUCGUUUGAUAAGAAUCAUUUGAAAUCAAGAAC
rnacentral:lncRNA from 1 species